rnacentral:pre_miRNA from 1 species
UCGGAGUACGCAAUUCUAUAAGUGGAAUCUAUUUUCACAUGCUUAUCAACUGUGAAAAUAGAUUCCACUUAUAGAAUUGCGUACUAC